GGGCCCGCACAAGCGGUGGAGCAUGUGGUUUAAUUCGAAGCAACGCGAAGAACCUUACCAAGGCUUGACAUCUCUCUGACAGGUAUAGAAAUAUACUUUCUCUUCGGAGCAGAGAUGACAGGUGGUGCAUGGUUGUCGUCAGCUCGUGUCGUGAGAUGUUGGGUUAAGUCCCGCAACGAGCGCAACCCUUAUCUUCAGUAGCCAGCAUUUAAGAUGGGCACUCUGGAGAGACUGCCGUGGAGAACACGGAGGAAGGCGGGGAUGACGUCAAAUCAUCAUGCCCCUUAUGUCUUGGGCUACACACGUGCUACAAUGGCUGUCACAAAGCGAAGCGAGAGGGUGACCUUAAGCAAAGCGCAAAAAGCAGUCUCAGUUCGGAUUGUAGUCUGCAACUCGACUACAUGAAGUUGGAAUCGCUAGUAAUCAUGAAUCAGCACGUCA
rnacentral:rRNA from 1 species